CAAAAGUUUUUUUUUUGUUUAUAGAAAUUUCAGACUUGGAAGCUACAAUCAGCUACAAAAAAUAAUUAUUUUUUUUACGAUUUUAAUUAACGACAUAAACAAAUACUUACCUGAAUAAUAAUAACAACAAUUGCAAUUGUUUUUUUGUAAUUAUUUUAGUCAUGCGCCGUGAUGUACUUAAAUGUUCAAUCAGUUUUUGCUCCCACUUGAUCAACGUAAGACCCUCUUUGAGGUUAUUUUGUUUUUCUGUCAUCUAUUACGCGACAAAAAAAAAAAAAUAAAUAAACCAAAAAAAAAAAAAAACAAACCAAGGAACACAACAGUCAAUAUAAAGUGUUUGAUAAUCUAACAAGUUAUUCAAGCUUAUCACAAAAGUGUAAUUGAAAUGAAAAAUUAAGUAUGAUUGUUUGUUUUUAUAUCAGUAAUGUUAACAAUUAUUAAUUAUUACAAUAUUUUUAUUAUUAAAAAUAUAAUCAUUAUUAAAUAAAUAUUGCAUCGAAAAUUUUUUAAUUAAAUAUCAAUCAAUAAACAAUCACCAAAAAAGUGUUAUGAGCAGUGCAAUUAGCACAUACGAUGGAUUGGAUCCAGAUCCACCAGCACCAAAAACAAAAACAACUCUUGAACCACCAGGUGCUGGUGGUACUAAAAAAUUAUCACGUGGUAUAUCAAGAGCAACUGAAAAUGCAGCAAUUGUAUCACAUGCUCGUUUACAACUUGCUUAUUUUGGUACUGUUGAUACACCUGAAUUUACAUUCUCCUUACCAGAUUUAUCAGUUUAUCCAGAUUCAUUUCGUCAAUUUUUAGAAAAAGAUUUAAUUGAAGGUGGCUGUUUGACGUCAUUAGAAACAGCUGGAAGAUUAAAUUGGUGGUGUGGUGGUAAAAAUAGUGGUACACGUGUACUUUGGCCUUUGGCAACAGCUGGUGAUGGUAAUUGUCUUCUCCAUGCAGCAUCACUUGGUAUGUGGGGUUUUCAAGAUAGAUUAUUAACCCUGAGAGAUGCAUUGCACAAUACAUUAUCAAAAGGUGAAUACAAAGAUUCACUAUAUAGAAGAUGGAAAUGGCGACAAAUGGGUUUAAAUGCUGAUGCUGGAUUAUCAUAUACCGAUACAGAAUGGUUAAAUGAAUGGAAUUCAAUUGUUGAUAUGGCAACAGCAAAUCCACGUUCACAAACAGCAACAUCUUAUCAAAGUCUUGAAGAGGUUCAUGUAUUGGCAUUGGCACAUGUAUUAUGUCGUCCAAUAAUUAUAAUUGCUGAAACAAUGCUACGAGAUUCUGAAGGUGUUGCAUUAGCACCAAUACCAUUUGGUGGUGUUUAUUUACCAUUAGAAGUAUCACCAGAAAAAUGUCAUCGUACACCUCUUCUUCUAGCUUAUCAUUCAGCUCAUUUUUCUCCAUUAGUUACUGUUGAUUGUGGUAAUGAUUUUGGUGAUAUACCAAAUGAAGGUGUUAGUAUACCACUUGUUGAUCCAGACUCGGGACAAUUAUUACCAGUAUUAUUUGCAAUUGAUCCUGGUCCAGAUUGGGAAUGGACUGAAAAAUCACGUGAUUUAUUACCGUGUCAUCAAGAAACAAUGGAAAUAUUAAUACGUGAAUAUUUAGAUUGUGAACUAGAUGUGAUGUACGAUUUAGAUAGAUUGUCUGAUGGUGAUGGUACAUCAUCAAAUAGAAAUAAAACAGCUAAACAAUUAUUAGGUGUUGCUAAGCAAUUUGGAUCAAUUGGUAAAUCAGUUAGUAAGAGAUUAUGGUCAAUGGCUAAAAGACCAAAAAGUCCACCAUUAUCUUUUCUUGGUGGUGGUGGUAUAGCUCAUGGUGUACUUUGUGUAAGAUUAAAGAGUCGAAGACAUCAAUAUGUCGAUCAAAUGUUACAAAAUUAUCUCCAAUGUGCACAUUCUAGAUAUUUGGAAACUCAUCAAGGAGAUAGUGAUAUAAAUUAUGGUGCUGGAAAAUCUAAAUUUUAUGCUACAAGUGAUAGUGAAAGUUAUGCAAGUGUCGACUUUUUAUAACAACGAAACAACACCAGAUACUUUAGAAUCAGAUGUUAAAAAUAUCGAUGUGCAAGAUGGAAUAGCAAAUGAGUGCCGUACUGAAGACUGUCAUUUUUUUGGAUCACCUAAAAAUAAUUAUUAUUGUUCAAAAUGUUGGGCUGAUCGUUCUCAACGAUAAUUAUCACUACAC
rnacentral:misc_RNA from 1 species